GUCUACGGCCAUGCUACCCUGAACAAGCCCGAUCCUGUCUGAUCUUGGAAGCUAAGCAGGGUCGGGUCUGGUUAGUAGUUGGAUGAGAGACCACCUAGGAAGACUACGUGCUGUAGGCA
rnacentral:rRNA from 1 species